AAAAUAACCCUCACGGGUGCUUGCGCAAGGCUAGGUCUAUUCUUAUUAGGGUUUUAUGUCGCUGAUAAAUGUCAAAGGGAAGCCCUUGUUUGGUUCCUUAUAAACUUGCAAUUGAAAAUCUGCUCCAUUAGAGAGGAAUUGCAGAAUAGAGUGAGAAGCGUAGAUCCUGAGAGGUUGAACCAAGAUGAGGGCUAAAUGGAAGAAGAAGCGCAUGAGGAGAUUGAAGAGGAAGCGCCGAAAGAUGAGGCAGAGAUCCAAGUAGGUGCUUGGAAUUGAACAAGAAGAAGCGCAUGAGGAGAUUGAAGAGGAAGCGCCGAAAGAUGAGGCAGAGAUCCAAGUAGGUGCUUGGAAUUGAACAAGAUGGGGUUUUCUUCUGAUACCUUCAGCUCAGCUUAUGGUGCUGCGCGAAGUGGGUUGCUGGAAGGAUGCUUGUUAGGGAAAGCUUCAUUUGUUUUUGCCUCCUGUUUUUAGUUUUAGCAACUGUUUUUGGGACUUAUUGAAUUUAAUGUUUUGAGUUGUAUUUGACUUGAUAUAUGAAACUUGUUUUAAAGGUUUAUGCAUUACAAUCAGAUGCGUAAUUUAUUGGUC